CUUCCACUGUGGGCUGCCUCGCUCAGCUCUUUCUCAGCUAGUCCCUCCUCAUCUUCGUUCCCACCGGGCGAGAGAAACCACCUGAGUCCCAGGCUCAGAGGCCGCUAAGGGGAAGGAGCCUCCAGGUGGCAGCAGGCCCAGCCUCUGCCUGUGCCCUGUGCAGGGCACCAGGCCUAGUACAGCAUAGGCCUCCCGAGGCUGUGUGGCAGGUAAGGUGCAGGCGGACUGGAGCUCAGGACUGGUGUCUGCAGAGGCUGCGCCUAGUGUGACACGGAGGCCGAGGCUCUGGGAGGUACAGGAGACGAUGCUGUGCAGGGAGGAGAGGUGCCUCUCUCUCGUGGGGCCAGGGAGAACCAGGACGAGAGUGUGGCUGCUGUCUUGGCUCUGAGAGAGCGAGGGCAACAGCACAAAGGCACCAGGAGACAGAGACCUUGAGCUGCACGCUGCACAGAAACUGGAGCCGGGAGCUCAGAAGGCGCGUCCUCGGGGCUGGGCAGGUGCCCCACAGCGACAGCUGCCAGCUGCCCAGAGAGCCGGAACACAACAGGAAGCUAGACUCAAGAGGAAUCUCUGUGCUGGCCAUUCCUGGCAGCAGGCAGCUGUGCUUCUCUUCCACCGAAUGAGGAUGCUAAGCAACCGCCUCUGGGAGUCUGUGACCUGCAGCAUGCAGAGCCUACUGGCACCCUGGGCACGCUCUGUCUCCCAGGAGGCAGCCAUGACCAGUUCCUAUUUUACAGUCGAGGAAAUGUAAGCUCCAAGGCUGUGACUUGUCUGCACCACACAACGAGACAGUGACUAUCGAGGGCUCGGCCGACUGUCCCACCUCUGUUCUGCUCCAGGGUGACAGAUGGCGCCACCUGCUACAGCUUGGCAUCCCGAGAAGGCUCUAGAAAGGUGCUGCCAGAGCCCUGCUCCACACCAGCGAAUGGGCUGUCACAGAGGCCUGGUGGGCAUCUUUCAAAGCCCUCCCUGUGGCCCCAGCCCCUUCCCAGUGACUGUGUGGCCCCCUUCUAGGCAGUGAGGCAUCCUGGGAACCCUGAGCAAGGCUCCCCUGCUCCUCAGAAAGAAACACUAGAGAGAAGCGCUCCCCUCUUUAGCUGCGUAUGCCGGUUGGGACUCCGGGGACUGCCCUGCCACAUCACUUCCAGUCCCGAAGGAAGACAGUGCAAGGGCGCAAUCCCCAGAGAAGAGAGAUGGAGGAGAUUCCCUCACCUCGAGACCCCCGCCCCAGCUCCCCUGUGGUUUGGGGUAGACAGUUCCUGGCUGGCUGAAUCAGUGCAAGGGGGCAUUUGUUAUCCACAACAGAAAGCCUGAGGCAACAGCUGAGAAUUCAGAACUCGGAAAAUUCAAAAUUAAGGAAACAUAAUGCCUGGCCAGUACUAUGGCUGUAAUCCCAGCACUCUGGGAGGCUGAGACAGGAGGACUGCAAGUUCACAGCCAGCCUAGGCUACAUAGCAAGUUCAAG
rnacentral:lncRNA from 1 species